rfam:Ictidomys tridecemlineatus contig068395, whole genome shotgun sequence.
GGGAUUGUGGCUCAGUGGUAGAGUGCUCGCCUAGGAUAUGUGAAGCCCUGGGUUCGAUCCUCAGCACCA